rnacentral:sRNA from 1 species
AUCCUGGAAAAAUUAGUUAAUUCAUUAUUUUAUUUCCAUUUUUCACAUUAAAAUGUUGGGAAUGCAAGAUUAAGAACCUGGGAAAGCAGCAAAAGGAAGGGAUCCCGUAAGCCUCUGGUGAAGCUGCCACUUAUGGGCCACUCAUAAGACUCAGAACCGAUAGAGUCUGGUCAGGGUCACUUGGGCCACCUGAGAGUCUAUCAUCUCUCGCUUAUGACAGAGGCUAAUGUCUUUAAUACCUUUAACGCCUGUUACGGCAGAAAAUCCUCGCCAGACUCAAGGAACAGAAAACUUUAACGUAUGGAAUGACUUCCACAAAUAUUUACUGAGAACCAGCACCCUCUGAAGCAGUGGGAUUCUAACAAGAUGGAUGGAUCUCAGCCUCCCUAGAGCUUAUUGUCCAGUGGAAAUAAAGACAAUGGACAAGCAAACAAAGAGCCCAUGAAGAGAAUAAGACAGAGUAAUGCGAUUGAGAAUGUGGGGCACCGGAAGUGGAGGGCACUGGAGCGGAUGUUGAAGCGGUGAGGAAGUUAGCGUCCCGGAUAUUGGAAACACACGCCAGGAGGGGUGAGUGAAGUAACAGCAGGGACUGUGGUAGCUGUAUCCUGGGGAGUGAGGAGGAAAGGGAGCGGAGGCAGCAAGGACUGGCUGCUGCGAAGAUGAUGUAAGGACCCGGCGAGGAGGUCAAAUGCUAUUCUAAUAGAAACUGGGAACACAACUCCGUGGACAAGAAUGAAGAGCUUCCGCGCUACUUCAGCCUGUUGGAGAUUGCGGAUGUAAGCUGCCACAGCCAAGAGUUGUCUUGAGAAAUUACCGGAACAGGAAGAGAGAAGUUCUGCGUUGCGAUCAGACGUGGUUGCUUUCUGGUGCGUGUUGGACGUGAGCACAUUGACCCCAGGUGUGGCCUCAACAUGGAGUCCUGGCUAGCCUCUCAGCUUCAAACCCCAUUGGUUACCACCGUGACGCUGCUGCUCUUCUGAAGGUGGGUGCCAUGUUAAACUCUGCCACUAGAGGGUGCUCGAGGGAUGUUGGGCAGAAUUUUUCUUCCUGGUUCUGGUGUGCUCUCUAGGAAGGCUCCCAGUUAUUCAGUGGCUUCUUUCUGUCUCACUUCUGUAGUUUUCAGUUUCCACCAAAUGUGGCUCCUCCACUGCCCUGCUCCUUUAGGGAAGCGGCUAGCUUCUUUGUGUGAGUUUCUCUCGUGCAGACAUCUGACUGUAUCCAGCUUCCAGCAGCUUCCUUGGCAGCCCCUUGCAUAGCUUUCUAGAGAGUUCCAAGGCGUAGGGUCUAACAGUGGAAGCCUCUCUCCGGUACAUUAGAGGGUGGAUUUCCAGAAACUUCUACAGCAUAAUAGCACCUCAACAACUAUUAAUUUGGCGAACCAUGACUGUAUUCUCUUUAACAAGGCCUUUCUCUCAGCCCCAGGAGGAGAAGAGCAUUGUUUCAAACCAGGGGUAGCAUUAGUGAUUCCUGU